rnacentral:rRNA from 1 species
UACAGAGGGGGCAAGCGUUGUUCGGAAUUACUGGGCGUAAAGGGCGCGUAGGCGGCCGACUAAGUCAGACGUGAAAUCCCAUGGCUCAACCAUGGAACUGCGUCUGAUACUGGACGGCUUGAGUUCGGGAGAGGGAAGUGGAAUUCCAGGUGUAGCGGUGAAAUGCGCAGAUAUCAGGAAGAACACCCGUGGCGAAGGCGGCUCUCUGGGACGGUACUGACGCUGAGACGCGAAAGCGUGGGGAGCGAACAGG